rnacentral:rRNA from 1 species
GACGAACGCUGGCGGCGUGCUUAACACAUGCAAGUCGAACGGUGAACCUCUUCGGAGGGGAUCAGUGGCGAACGGGUGAGUAACACGUGGGCAACCUGCCCCCGGCUCUGGGAUAACUCCAAGAAAUUGGGGCUAAUACCGGAUGUUCACCGCUUCCCGCAUGGGUGGUGGUGGAAAGGGUUUCCGGCUGGGGAUGGGCCCGCGGCCUAUCAGCUUGUUGGUGGGGUAGUGGCCUACCAAGGCGACGACGGGUAGCCGGCCUGAGAGGGUGACCGGCCACCCGGGGACGGAGACACGGCCCAGACCCCACGGGGAGGGAGCGGUGGGGAAUUUUGCGCAAGGGGGGGAAGCCUGACGCAGGGACGCCGGGUGGGGGAUGACGGCCUUGGGGUUGUAAACCUCUUUCAGCAGGGACGAAGCGCAAGUGACGGUACCUGCAGAAGAAGCCCCGGACAACUACGG